UACGGAGGAUCCGAGCGUUAUCCGGAUUUAUUGGGUUUAAAGGGUGCGCAGGCGGGGGAUUAAGUCGGCGGUGAAAUUUUGCAGCUCAACUGUAAAAGUGCCUUCGAAACUGGUUUCCUUGAGUGUAGAUGAAGUAGGCGGAAUUUGUGGUGUAGCGGUGAAAUGCAUAGAUAUCGCGAGGAACUCCGAUUGCGCAGGCAGCUUACUAAUCCAUCAUUGACGCUGAGGGACGAAAGCGUGGGGAUCAAACAGGAUUAGAUACCCUGGUA
rnacentral:rRNA from 1 species